rnacentral:misc_RNA from 1 species
UGCUACUUAGAGUCAACAGAGUGAAAGAAAACUUUACCACAAGGUAUGCAUUUUUAGAGCAUUGGUAGUGAAGUCACUUGUUGGCUGGAGCUCCCAUUCAAGUAGCGAAUUCUCAAAGCUUUAAAGUAGUAUAAUGGGUAUGGGGAUGCUUUGGUUUGAUUUUGAAUGAAUUUUGAAGAUGAAUAUAGGAUUGUUUGAGAUAUGGAUUUUAUGUGAAACAGUUGGAGUUAUUUUCUAGGUGUUUUAAAGGUUGUAUGAUAUGAAACCUAAUGCGAUUUAAAUAACAUUAACAAGUGCACUCAUUGUGUUCAAGUAAUAUAAUGAUGAGAAAGA